CAGCCGCCGCGGUAAAACGAAGGGUGCAAGCGUUAAUCGGAAUUACUGGGCGUAAAGCGUGCGUAGGCGGUUUGUUGAGUCUGCUGUGAAAUCCCCGGGCUCAACCUGGGAAUGGCAGUGGAUACUGGCAAGCUAGAGUGUGUCAGAGGAUGGUGGAAUUCCCGGUGUAGCGGUGAAAUGCGUAGAGAUCGGGAGGAACAUCAGUGGCGAAGGCGGCCAUCUGGGACAACACUGACGCUGAGGCACGAAAGCGUGGGGAGCAAACAGGAUUAGAUACCCCCGUAGUCCCUGUCUCUUAUAC
rnacentral:rRNA from 1 species